AGGACCAUAGCUCAGCAGUAGAGCAUCUGCUUUGCAUGCAGAAGGGCCUAGAUUCAAUUCCCAACACAUGGCUUGG